rnacentral:misc_RNA from 1 species
UUUCCGUAGGUGAACCUGCGGAAGGAUCAUUAAAGAGAAUAUGCCCUUUGGGGUAGACCUCCCACCCUUUGGUUUUAUUACCUUUGUUGCUUUGGCAGGCCCGGCGUCGGCCCACCGGCUUCGGCUGGUUAGUGCUCCCCAGAGGACCCAAAACUCCUAUUAUUAAUAUUGUCUGAGUACUAUAUAAUAGUUAAAACUUUCAACAACGGAUCUCUUGGUUCUG